rnacentral:rRNA from 1 species
CGCGUAGGUGGCUUGGUAAGCGUGUGGUGAAAGCCCGGGGCUCAACCCCGGGUCUGCCGUGCGAACUGCCUGGCUUGAGCGUAGUAGAGGCAGGUGGAAUUUCGGGUGUAGCGGUGGAAUGCGUAGAGAUCCGAAAGAACACCGGUGGCGAAGGCGGCCUGCUGGGCUACUGCUGACACUGAGGCGCGACAGCGUGGGGAGCAAACA